CCNUGGAUCCUGUCGGAGGNAGUUUUCCCUNGCUCAGUCANAGCAUCCGGUAUNGNCNCUUGCUNCCGGANCUAGCGGCGGACGGGUGAGUAAUGCUUANGANUCUGCCUAUUAGUGGGGGACAACAUCUCGAAAGGGAUGCUAAUACCGCAUACGUCCUACGGGAGAAAGCAGGGGAUCUUCGGACCUUGCGCUAAUANAUGAGCCUNGAGUCGGAUUAGCUAGUUGGUGGGGUAAAGGCCUACCAAGGCGACGAUCUGUAGCGGGUCUGANAGGAUGAUCCGCCACACUGGGACUGAGACACGGCCCAAACUCCUACGGGAGGCAGCAGUGGGGAAUAUUGGACAAUGGGGGGAACCCUGAUCCAGCCAUGCCGCGNGUGUGAAGAAGGCCUUAUGGUUGUAAAGCACUUUAAGCGAGGAGGAGGCUACUUUAGUUAAUACCUAGAGAUAGUGGACGUUACUCGCANAAUAAGCACCGGCUAACUCUGUGCCAGCAGCCGCGGUAAUACAGAGGGUGCGAGCGUUAAUCGGAUUUACUGGGCGUAAAGCGUGCGUAGGCGGCUUAUUAAGUCGGAUGUGAAAUCCCCGAGCUUAACUUGGGAAUUGCAUUCNAUACUGGUGAGCUAGAGUAUGGGAAAAGGAUGGUANAAUUCCAGGUGUANCGGUGAAAUGCGUAAAGAUCUGGAGGANUACCGAUGGNCGAAAGGCAGCCAUCUGGCCUAAUACUGACNCUGAGGUACNAAAGCCUUGGGGAGCNAACANGAAUUAAAUACCCUGGUAANNCCAUGCCCNAAACNAUGUCUACUAACCNUUUGGGGCCNUUUGAGGCUUUUNUGGCNCCACCUAACCCNAUUANU
rnacentral:rRNA from 1 species